rnacentral:rRNA from 1 species
UACGAGGGGGGCGAGCGUUGUUCGGAAUUAUUGGGCGUAAAGGGUGCGUAGGCGGGUAGGUAAGUCAGUGGUGAAAUCUUCGAGCUUAACUCGGAAAUUGCCGUUGAUACUAUUUAUCUUGAAUAUCGUUGAGGUUUGCGGAAUAUGUCAUGUAGCGGUGAAAUGCUUAGAGAUGACAUAGAACACCUAUUGCGAAGGCAGCAGGCUAAACGAACAUUGACGCUGAGGCACGAAAGCGUGGGGAUCAAACAGG